rnacentral:rRNA from 1 species
UACGUAGGGGGCUAGCGUUGUCCGGAAUCAUUGGGCGUAAAGAGCGCGUAGGCGGCCAGAUAAGUCCGGUGUGAAAGUCAAAGGCUCAACCUUUGAAUGCCGCUGGAAACUGUCUGGCUAGAGUCCGGGAGGGGCGAGUGGAAUUCCUGGUGUAGCGGUGAAAUGCGUAGAUAUCGGAAGGAACAUCAGUGGCGAAAGCGGCUUCCUGGACCAGUACCGACGUCAGGCACGAAAGCGUGGGGAGCAAACAGG